rnacentral:rRNA from 1 species
GUGGGGAAUCUUCCGCAAUGGACGAAAGUCUGACGGAGCAACGCCGCGUGAGUGAUGACGGUCUUCGGAUUGUAAAGCUCUGUUAAUCGGGACGAAAGAGCUCUGUGUGAAUAAUGCAGAGAAGUGACGGUACCGGAAUAGAAAGCCACGGCUAACUACGUGCCAGCAGCCGCGGUAAUACGUAGGUGGCAAGCGUUGUCCGGAAUUAUUGGGCGUAAAGCGCGCGCAGGCGGGUUUUUAAGUCUGUCUUAAAAGUUCGGGGCUUAACCCCGUGAGGGGAUGGAAACUGGAAACCUAGAGUAUCGGAGAGGAAAGCGGAAUUCCUAGUGUAGCGGUGAAAUGCGUAGAUAUUAGGAAGAACACCAGUGGCGAAGGCGGCUUUCUGGACUGACACUGACGCUGAGGCACGAAAGCGUGGGGAGCAAACAGGAUUAGAAACCCGGGUAGUCC